rnacentral:rRNA from 1 species
GACAGAGGCCUCAAGCGUUAGGCGGAAUCACUGGGUUUAAAGCGUGUGUAGGCGGACUUCUAAGUGCCUUGUGAAAUCCCACGGCUCAACCGUGGAACUGCUGGGCAUACUGGGAGUCUUGGGCCAUUCAGGGGCAACUGGAACAAGCGGUGGAGCGGUGAAAUGCGUAGAUAUCGCUUGGAACGCCGAAGGUGAAAACAGGUUGCUGGGGAUGUGCCGACGCUGAGACACGAAAGCCAGGGGAGCAAACGGG